rnacentral:rRNA from 1 species
AGUAAAUAGAUACCCGGGUAGUCCACGCCGUAAACGAUGGGUACUAGAUGUCGGAAGAUCUUACCCUUCCGGUGUCGGCAGCUAAACGCAUUAAGUACCCGCCUGGGAAGUACGGUCGCAAGAUUAAACUCAAAGGAAUUGACGGGGCCCGGCACAAGCGGUGGAGUAUGUGGUUUAAUUCGACGCAAACGCGAAAACCUUAACCUGGGCUUGUACAUCCACGCUACCCUACUGAAAGUAAGGGGUUCCCUUCGGGGACGUGGAGACAGGUGCUGCAUGGCUGUCGUCAGCUCGUGUCGUGUAGAUG